CGGACCCUCCAGCCUCGGGGCCCGCGCCGGUCGGGUCCCGCCGCCCAGGGCGCAGCGUCCAGCGCAGAUAUGAACUUUGAGCACGUGGCCAUUGCCUCCUAUCAGGAAUGUGGGCUCCUUGAUGAGGCUCAGAGACUUCUGUGAUGUGAUGCUGGAAGUUUUUGCACUUGUAGCAUCUGUAGCCAGUCCAUGGACUCUGCUGACUCACCCCCUUGUCCACCGUGCUGCGGCUGCCAGUGCUGGGCUGUGUGGAGAGUCCAGCAAUGAAUUCCUCGAGCAUCCCUAACACCCAUUGUUUCCCAAAGUGCAGAAAGUGUCUGGAGUCAAGAGUAUUACAGACAGCUUCCCCUCAGAGGUAUGGACAGUCAUCCUGAGGGAGCACCAAGCUGGAGGGCAUCCUGCCCCUUCUCUCCUGGCAGGUAGGCCCGGCUGGCCUCUGAUUAUCGGGAGAUGGUGGUCUUUCUGAAGAGAUCACUUAGCACGUCAUCUCGGCAACUGGGGGAGUGUCCUCCAGAGAAGAGAGGAAGAACUGAAAGCAGACGUAGGGCAGGAGUGUCCUCAGAGAGCCCUCCCUUUCCCUACCCGCCUCCCCAGAUGUCUCCUGUGCAGGCCAUGUGGCCAGGACCACAAUUUCCAAACCUACUCGGCCUGUUCACAGCCUAGCAUCACCCCAACAUACAGAGCACCCUUGGUCAGGAUGGCUAGGGCUUGGUGGCUGGUUCAGUGGAGGCACAUGUUCGGUCAAGGCUGCCUCUGUUGGGAGCCCGUCCCUUUCGUAUUAAGUCCCCAGGGCCUGGGGCAGAGAAGGACAGUGACAAAUGGGGCUGCAACAUGCCGAGGUGGGGUGAUCUCACCAAGGCCUAGAAGCAGAGGCAGCAGGGAACACGGAGCCCUGGGGUCAAAAGUGGGGCUGCGUACUUCACAGCUGUAGUAUGAAUGGGAGCCCCUGGCUGCAGACGUGAGCUGAGGUCCUGGGUGGCCAGCCCUUGCUCCAACCAUGGCUCAGAGGGUGAGCCCUGAGCACCUGGGAGAAAAUCCUCAUCUCUGCAUGGUGAUUUUGACCGCAAAAUCAGUUUUACCUUGUAUUUUGUGCUUUUCUCCAAUCUCUGAAUUUUCUACCAUGAACAUAUACUCUUGUCAAAAGUAAUUGAAGAAAAAAAUUGGGGAAAAAACCCUGAAAAGACCUUCAACUACCUCAUAGUAAGACAGGCGAUGGACUCUCCAAAUACAAGUGAAAAAUGCAUGUGGUUGGAGUUCUGGGAGCAUUAGGACAAGGCUGAUUUGUACAGCAUCUCGCUCCAGGCCGCCUGAGGACUGUAGACCCAGAGCCAUGCCCACUGUUGGGAUUCUUGCUCCUUCCGCACUCUCCCAGGACCUAUCCCCCAGCCCCCAGCCACUCAGUGUCUGCACUCACCAUAAAGUUUGAAGCACCCACCUCUUACCACUUGAAAUCGGGAAAAUUUGGCUUUAAGUCUUGUUCAGUGGACCAGACAAGCAUCCAGUGUAUGAAGUCAGCAUGCGGAGCAGAGGAGGAGAUGUGCAGACAGCAGCAAAGGCAGAGAGAGCUCGAGUUCCCAGCUGGUCGCUCGGGAGAAGGUGGAGGACAGCCCAGCACUUGGCAGCCCAGGAAUCAGAGCGGAUGCAUGAGAUCAAGUCAGUGCCGCAUCCACUGAAUGGGACAGUGUGAUGGUCACGCAUUUACUUUGAUGGGGACCUUGUUUUAUGGUGACACUGCUUUGCUAUUGACAGGACCGUGAUCAUGACGGUCAUGAGCACCAUGAUUAUAUGGUGAAUGUUAACUGUUCUCCGACGUUGUGUACAAAGGGCACACCUCCUGACCACUGACCUUGCUCUGCUCCCAACAUCCGUGGCUUGGCAUCUGUUCUUCUAGUCUGUGUUCCCCUCUUCCCACAGCCCACCAUAUAAUAACCUUUCUUUUUAAAAUAAAGUCAAGUGGAAAUGGUGAGUCGAUUUGAGGGGAAAGAUGUACGUAAUCACAGAGGUGAUAGAAGCAGGGCAAAAUCAGAGAGAUGGUACAAGGACGGCUGGAGACAAAACAAGGCAGUAGCUCAAGGCCUCUGGACCGGUGCUCCCAGCUCUGACAGUGACUGUAAGCUGAUGUUCUGUCUGUCCACUGCUCCUCUCACUGCAGCAUCCAAGAUGUCGCAUACCCUUAGCACAGCCCUACUGUCACUCUGGACUGAAUCCUGGCUCGGCAACCUCGAUCCAAUUAUUCAAAAUGCUUGAGUGGAGCAAUAAAUACUUCAAAACAUAAAACAUGUCUAAAAGGGGACUUAUCUGCAAAAGUCAACGAUUUCCUGCUCUGACAAUGAACUUGGAAUAAAGGGCAGCAGUUUCUGAUUUAGCUGCUCAAAAAUAGCUCUUAAGAAAAAGUCUUAAAAAUAAUAAAGUCUUCCAACGGUGGCCACACAUGUGAUGAAGCACAGUGACCGCUGAUGAGCUCUGCACUGCACACGGGCAUGACCUUCACGCUGCAGGUUCUCGAGAGGGGGUAGCAGUCAGCCAGGGGACUUGCUGAGCACGGACAUUGUGGGCCAAGGACCUGUGUGUGUGUCCCGAGGCUCCUGUAAAACUGCGCUGUGCUGGAGUCCGGCCCAGAGGCUGUGACCACUCAUCUCUUCUGAAAUCAGAGCCCACCCUGGCUACUUCAGCUUGGGGUCAGCAGGAGGCGUCCACUCUGUGUUAUCUGGCCUUUAGGUACUGGAGUAUUCUGUUAUUUGUGGGGGUUUCUAUGUACUGUUUUUUUUUGUGCUUUUUUAUUUAAUUUCAGAAAUAAGGGAGGGUAUAUCGUGAAGACACUAAUAAAGGGAAAGGUUCGGAAACCCUUAGCGUCGAAAAAACUGAGAGGCUAGUUAGGAGAGGGUGGCAAGUCAGCGGAUGACCAGAAUCUUUUUCUUUUUUUUUCCAGAGCACUGGGCAGAAAUCACAUCGCAUCAACACCUGCCGCGGGCCUUCGUGAUGCUUUGUUUUAAUUAAACAGUCGGAUUCCCCUAGUCCGCACCAGUUUUAAGUCGCCUGCUAGGCGCCGGCCAAGGCGAGGCACCGCGUGGAACCACGGCCCUGGGGGCGGUCCCGGCGGGGGAUGAAAAGACCAGAAUCUGAGACAUUUAGACAGAGCUGGGCAGCCUACGGGAGACUUGUCCUUGCUUUUGCUUCUCCAAAAGUGACUCCCUUUGCACCCAGUUGCUAAAUUGUUAUCCCCGGAUAACCCAAGAGAGAAAGGAAAAAACACCCACACGAUAACAAAUGAAACCACAUUUCCUAAAUGUACUUGGGAAAUCAGAACCCUCUCCAGCUCAGGAGUGAUGGAAACGUUACACACGGCAAAACCAGAAUCAGGACUCAGUGAGUCAUUGAUGCUCUGACGCCAUUUAAUGAAUGUAGUGGCACCUUGUGCCAGUGCUUUACUUAGCACGUGAGGAGAAUUCUAUAUUUCUCAAAAAGUAUCCUCGUUUGAAGUAUAAAGAAAGUAGAAAUAAAUGAAAACAGUGAAUGUAAAGGUUGCAUUGCAGCUAACGGG